CCCGGCAGCCCCCGCCACCCCCGGGACGCCCCUCCGCUUCCUCCUCCCGGAGCGGGGGCCCCUGGCCGCGUCUCUCCGCCUUCCCUCCCUAUCCGCGCCCCUAUCCGGCGCGGGCCGCUGCGGAAACGCAGCUCUCCACCCCCAGCUGGCUCUCCCGGACCCCCUGGGCCCCACCCUCAGCGCUCCCCACCGCUCGGCGCCCCUGCGUCUGCGCUCCCCUCUCUCCCCUCUCUAUCCACUGGGUCUGGGCCGCACUUCCCGCCCACCCGCCUGCCAGCGGCCGGGAAGCCUGUGGAAGUUAUGGGGAUGCAGGGAGAGGGGGAGAGGGGAGCUUGUGUGCUAGGGGACCAGCCAUUUGAGUCAAGCUGGAGACGACGUCUUAGAACCUAGGAUGAGUCUCGUUUGGUUUUAGUCUGCAAAGCUCGUCUGCAUCAGACAGGAAUUUUCCCCAGACGCGGGUGCACGUGAAUUAAUUCAUCAGAAGGCGGUUCACGGCCUGAGUGAGGGGGACGAGGGCGGCGAAUUCCUCCGCCUCAUUCCUACCCUGACGAUUCGAGUUCGUUUCUGCUGCGGCGGCAAGAGGCUGGGGAGCCGAUGACUCACCCUGCCGGCUAAUUGCAGCGUUAAAUAACUUUGCGCCGGAUUCGGUGGCUGCAGCAGGGAACGCGCUCCGGGCGCCGGGGGAGGUGGAGGGACGCCCUGAGAACGCACCUCCGUCCCUGUCACCAGCCUUAGCAAGUUCUGGCCUGUGGAGCCGUCAUCCAGAGCGCACAGCUUCAUGCCCUUGAAGGGCGCAGUGUGUCCCGUGGUGCCCGGUGGGCCCGGACAGAGACCCCAGAGGCUCUGUCUGAAGGAAGCUGCACCCACAGACUCCAUCCAGGCAGCGCGGGCGCGGUCCUGUCGCCUACCUUUCUCGGAAGCCAUCUGCCCAUGUGAAUCUAUGUGAAGGCCCUUCAUGCGCUCCUGGACAUCUGCGUGGGAUUUACUUCAACUGCUAUCGCUGCGAGGAGGACGAGCAUGUUUCACUGUAUUUUUAGCAGAGAGUGCAGAUUUUAGAACCUCGCGAACGGUCCUGUAUCUCCUGCACGAUGACUCUCCAGAACAGGAAUAGUGACCCUUCCUUUGCAUUUAUGGUGCAUAGGUUUUCAAAGGACAGUGUGUAAAUCAGCUUGUGUAAUAAUUGUGGCACCCACGCGCGCAAGCAGACUUACCAUGAGCUGACUUCCACUGAUUAUUUCAGUUUCCAGGGAAACGAGGUUUGCAGCCCCCUCCAGUGAGGGCGGAGCGGCCUCUCCAUUCCCAAUGCAGCAAGGCUGCUGCAGCCACGAUGAUUAGGCUUUGGAGGAGGAAGUGAACGGAUGGGGCCUCAUCCUCCUGCCUCCCUAAAGGGUGAGGGUGGAAGGAUGGGGCUGUGCCCUCUUAGGGCAGGGAAAAACAGCUUGGAGGGGUUUCUGCCAUCAGAGAUCCCAUAGGAGGCAGGUCAGUCCUGCAGAAUUUCUCCCCAGUCUGGCCUCCAGCCUCCCUGGCCCCUUUCUAGAGGCCUCCAUCCCACUGGCGGCUUGCUCCUGCCACCGGGCCUCUGCACAGUCACCUCCUGCAGCCUGGGGUGUGUCGCCUCUCCACGUCCUCACCGGCGUCUGCCUUUGCAUUUCCCAGAUGCUCGCUUCACCCCACUGAGAUGUAACUCAGUUUUGUGGGAUCCCACUGCCCUCCAGGUGCCGCUCCGAGUGCUCUACACAGAUUUUCAUUCAGUCCUUGCGGCACACGAAGAGUGGCUGUACCAUUUUGCAUUCCCAGACCGAAGUGUGAAAGCUCCAGAUGCCCCACGCCCUCACCAGCCCACGGUGUUGUCAGCCUUAAUAGUGCUGACCAUUCUGCCUGUUAAUAUGAUGAAUUACACUGAUUCAGUUUCAAAUGUCCAACCAAGCUUGCACUCCAGAGAUGAAGCCCACUUGAUCACAUGGAUUAUUCUUUUAAUAUAUGAUGGAUACGACUUGGCUGUUCUUUUGUUGAGGAUUUUUGUGUUUAUGUUAAUGAGGAUAUUAUUUGUAGUUUUCUUUUCUUGUAAUGUUUUUGUCUUUGUUCAGUGUCAGAGUAAUGCCAACUUCAUAAAGUGAGCUGGGAAGUACUCCCUCAUUUUCUGUUUUCUGUGAAAGAAUUGUAUAGAAUUGAUGUUAUUUCUUCCUUAAGUGUUGAGUAGAAUUCACUUGCAAAGCCAUCUGAGGUUGACAUCUUCUUUGGGAAUGACUUUAGCUAUAAAUUCAAUUUAUUUAACAGAUAUAGGGCUAUUAAGGUUAUUUAAUUUUUUUCUUGAAUGAGCUUUAGUGUCCUGUGUUUUUCAAGGAAUUUUUCCAUUUUAUUUAAGUUUUUAGAUUUGUUGGCAUAAAGUUAUCCCAAUAUUUCCUUAGAAGUUGUGACUUUUACUGCAUAUAAAACAUACCUCAAUAAAGCUAAUACAUACAUAUAUAUAUAUGAAUCAUUUCUGGCCAGGUACAGUGGCUCAUGCCUGUAAUCCCAGCACUUUGGGAGGCAGAGGCAGGUGGAUCACCUGAGAUCAGGUGUUCCAGACCAGCCUGGCCAACAUGGGAAACCUGUCUCUACUAAAAAUACAAAAAUUAGCCAGGUGUGGUGGCAUGCCCCUGUAAUCCCAGCUACUUAGGAGGCUGAGACAGAAGAAUCGCUUGAAUCCGGGAGGUGGAGUUUGCAGUGAGCUGAGAUUGCACCACUGCACUCCAGCCUGGGCAACAGACUGAGACUCCAUCUCAAAAAAAAAAAAAAAAAUCCCUUUUUAUCUAAAGGAUCUGUAGUGAAGUCCCCUCUUUCAUUUCUGAUAUUGGUAAUUUGUGGGGUUUUUUUGUUUU
rnacentral:lncRNA from 1 species